AAAAUAAAUACAUCCACCAACAAUACAAAGAGCAGUUUCCAAACUCAGCUACUUUUCUUUCAAGGACUUCCUCUGACUGGGAGGGCAGAGGCAGCCUGACCCAUCACGCAGCGCCCGCCGUCAGGAGCCCUGUGGUGUAACUGCACAGGACAAGCACACUCUCAGCCUGACGUCUCAUGUAAACCAAAGCAAAUUGUCACGUUUACUCCUCCGACUCCAGUGACUCCCAGAGAAGCCAAGGAUACCUCUGCAUAUGUACAGUGUAUUUAUUCCUAUAUCUGCGAGACAUAGGCAACUCUUACAGGAUUUCCAGGCCCUGCUCUCUCUGCUUCUGGAGCAUCAGCCCAUGUUCUGCCUGUUGCCAUAGCCUCUUGGGUGUGUAUCUUUCCAGUCAUCCCAGUCCCGAGCUUUUUGAAGAGCUUCCUCAUCAUCCUCCUCCUUUAUUUUCUCCUGCUGCUCCUUCCGCAACUCUUCAUCAUUUGUGUCUGGUGGUGGCCACUGAGGUGCACUCUGACCAUGCGCUGCUUCUUCCCUUUUCUUCUGAUCAUACCAGUCAUUUACAGUCAUCGUUGGCAGGCCAGGAUACCCAGCACCAAACACUCUAUAGGAAGAGAGAGAUGGUCAAGAAACGUUCUAUUUGACUGAACCAAUAUCAAUGCAUGGAACCACUCUGCACCCCAACAUGCACUGAUAGUUGAGACACUGAAGUAUGCUGACAACAGAAGAAAUUAGAGAAGGUAGAAGAAAUGCAUCAGAAG
rnacentral:lncRNA from 1 species